rnacentral:tRNA from 1 species
GGUUAUUUAGUUUAAUUAAAAUGUGGGUUUUGUAAUCCUAAGAUAGCAUGUACUGUUGUUAACCU